rnacentral:lncRNA from 1 species
AAGAAAAGAAACAAACAACCCUAAAACUAUUGUACAUACUUUAAAGCAAUAAUACAGAAUCUAUGUUUCCCAUUAAAAACAAUUUUAUUAACAAACUCUGGCUGCAAAGAUGGCUAAGCAAGUAAAAGCACUUGCUGCCAAGUCUGAGGACCUGAGUUCAAUCCUUGGGACCCACAUAGUGGAAAAAGAAAACCAACUCCUGCAAGUUGUCUUCUGACCUACAUAUGCCCAUGCUGCUCUGGCCUUUCUCUCUCUCCUGCCCCCUCUCUCUCUUACACACACACACACACACACAAAUAACUAAAACUUUUCUUAAAUGAAUAAACUCAAAUGACCUUUUUGUUAUGUGAGACAUAAGCUUUAAUUCAAUCCCAUUAUUCAUUUCUUCCCAAAUAUAUCAACCAACUAGAAGUAUUAAUUCCAUUAUUCAGUGUGCAUCCCAUCAUACCUUACUAUUUACAACAGAGUCUACAAAUAGCCUGUUAGAACCCUGAGUGUGCAGCAGCACAGCCCUGCCUGGCGACUGUAUGCAGCAACGGCAGCAGUUCAACCUGAUAUGUGUUGGGCUCAGAUUAGAGAGAUCAAGGGGAAUUUGACAGCAAGUUGGUUUCACAUGGGACUGGCUAAUGAUCAGCCCAGUGUCAUUUGGAAAUAAUUUGGGGAAUUAUGACAGAGAUGCUAAUAUACUACGUAACAAUAAGUCUUUAUUUCAUCCGACCAAGCUCUGUCACCACGUGGGUGCUUUCUGCCAGGCUGCCCGAGUUCUGCCCACCGCCACAUUAAGGUCCCAAGUAACACACAUAUUAGGUACAAAUGCUGCUUGGCCAAUGACUAGGAUUUCUCAUUUGCUAGCUCAGUCUUAAUUAUCAAAUCUAUAGAUUUUAUAAGACUUAUCUUAUAAAGGAUGCCUUCCACUGGCACCCUCUCUUGCCAGUGGAUCAUAUUGUGACUCCAGAGCAGAGACCAGAAGGAAGAGAGAAGGGACGACUUCUUUCUUGCCCUUGCUUAUAUAUGAGUCUCCCUGCUAUGAGUCACUUCCUGCCUGGAUCUUUUACUACAUUUCCCAGAAUCCUCCUUGACUUCUAGUCCCACCUAUCUUGCUUCCUCAAAUAAAGGCCAAGUAGUACUUUAUUUAUUAACCAAUAAAAGAGACAUAUGCAGAAAGACGUCCCCCAUCAACACUAUAUUUAUAUGAAGCUGCAAUGCUGUAUCAGGUGGUUCAGGGAUCCAGUAUGGAUCACUUAAAUACAAUUUUGAGGGAAUCUCACAUAUCUGCUUACAAUGAUGGAUUUCUAAAGACAUUCAGUGAUUCUGUCUCCUGAAAAUUAUGAGAUGUUAAGAACUGAAAAACAAACAAACAAACCUUUAGAGAUAGCACACAAUUUUUUUUCACACAAAGGCAAAGAGACCAGUAAAGCUCUUUACAUCACUAGUAAGUGGCAACAUCAGGGCCUGAGCUAAGCCUGUGAGAUGCACUCCAGGGCACCACUCACAUCACAGGAUCAUGUUUAUUAUGAACUCUUCAGGGUAGUCUGGCAAUCUGUAGACACGAGGAAGAGCAGAUACUGCCAUCUCGAGCCGGAAGACAUCUUCCUCUUCAAAGCAUCUCAUACUUUCUAUUGAGAUGCCUCCGAGUGCUUGUGCCCACUCACGUAGCAAAGGGCAACCUGAUCUCCCCCAAAUCUACUGAUUUCAAUGCUAGUCACACCUUUAAAAAAUACCUCACAGCCCUAUCUAUGUGUGCUUGACCAAAUAAAUAGGCACAUGGCCUACCAGACACAAAAUUAGCUAUCAUUAACCCUUCCUCAAUCCACACAGAAAAACAAAGAAUUUAUAUGUCAGAUUUUCAUUUGGGCUCAUUCCAUGCUUUGACACAUGUUGUUAAAGGCUUCAACUCCCACUUAACACUAGAUUUCAUAAGACAUGAAUAUCAUCUCACUCAACAUUUGUUGGAUCAUAAGAAAUUGGAUUUGUAGUUCCUUCUGGUCUGCAAAAUAUGGUUCAUGAGUAUAUCUUGUAUAAUCUUCACAAGUCACUUUAGUAGCACAAAUUUGAGCAGAAACAAGGCUAAGACUGUCACAUUAACAGGUAAUAAUCAAGAAGGAUCAGAUCCCCUGCCUCAGUGCCAUUGCUCAUCAAGGGCUAGGACAAGAAGUACCAGGUACUCAAAGACAGCAGAGGUCUUGUCAUUUCUAAAUCAAUCUACACCUGCAUGCAAGUUCAGAAUUAAUCACUGUCCACAAGUAGUGUUUAGGGCUUUUCAAAACUGUUUACUCAAUACUAAGUUUACACCUCAGAGAAUUUUCAUAAAAUUUCAUAAAAUUGUUACCAACAUGAAGAUAUGGGACAUGAUGGGGGUUGUCCUUCUGUAUGUAUGUUUCUCUUAUUGGUUGAUGACUAAAACACUGAUUGGCCAGUAGCCAGACAGGAAGCAUAGGCAGGGCUACCAGACCAGAAGAAGGCUAGGGAGAGGAAGGCAGAUGGGAGCCACCAGAGAGACGCCAUGUAGACACAGAAGAGUAACAUGCCAGGGUAUUACUGGAUGGGCCCUGAGGAUGUCUGUUACUCCUGAGCCUUGCCAACAACUGAUGGAGAAUCCCACUUCUGCCAUGACCAGCCACAGUCUGUUUAGGAGACUUUACCAGAGGAUCUAAGCAGCCAGUGUGAUGCAAAGUCCAUGUGUGUCAUGCCUGACAAUACUUCUUGCACCAGUUCUUUUGCAAGCUGCAAUUCAGGUUCAAGCCUUCAGUAUUGAACUCAUUUGCAGCAGACACCAUCACUUUCUUCCUCUAGACCUUGCUUAAAAAAAAUAAAGCUUUGUUUUUGUUCCUUGGUUAUCUUGCUUCUUUCUUUGGCUAUGGUGGCAUACGUCAUGAAUUGAAUUGCACUAGCUGUACCAGUCGGUGAUAGCACACACCAGCACUCAGGAGGAAGAGGCAGGUUGAUCUAAGUGUUCAAUCGAGGCCAGGUUGGUCUAUAAAGCAAGUUCCAG